rnacentral:rRNA from 1 species
CUGUGCCGCCGGGGGGCUUACGCCCCCGGGCCCGCGCCCGCCGAAGACACCCUCGAACUCUGUCUGAAGAUUGUAGUCUGAGUGAAAAUAUAAAUUAUUUAAAACUUUCAACAACGGAUCUCUUGGUUCCGGCAUCGAUGAAGAACGCAGCGAAAUGCGAUACGUAAUGUGAAUUGCAAAUUCAGUGAAUCAUCGAGUCUUUGAACGCACAUUGCGCCCCCUGGUAUUCCGGGGGGCAUGCCUGUCCGAGCGUCAUUUCUGCCCUCAAGCACGGCUUGUGUGUUGGGCCCCGUCCUCCGAUCCCGGGGGACGGGCCCGAAAGGCAGCGGCGGCACCGCGUCCGGUCCUCGAGCGUAUGGGGCUUUGUCACCCGCUCUGUAGGCCCGGCCGGCGCUUGCCGAUCAACCCAAAUUUUUAUCCAGGUUGACCUCGGAUCAGGUAGGGAUACCCGCUGAACUUAAGCAUUCAU